rnacentral:tRNA from 1 species
GGCCUGGUGGUCUAGUAGUAUGAUUCCUUCUUAGGGCAUUUAUGUCAAUUGGAGGAGGUCCCGGGUUCAAUUCCCGGCCAGGCCC